rnacentral:rRNA from 1 species
GGGUUGUGAGGUUAAGCGACUAAGCGUACACGGUGGAUGCCCUGGCAGUCAGAGGCGAUGAAGGGCGUGCUAAUCUGCGAUAAGCGCCGGUAAGGUGAUAUGAACCGUUAUAACCGGCGAUACCCGAAUGGGGAAACCCAGUGUGAUUCGUCACACUAUCAUUAACUGAAUCCAUAGGUUAAUGAGGCGAACCGGGGGAACUGAAACAUCUAAGUACCCCGAGGAAAAGAAAUCAACCGAGAUUCCCCCAGUAGCGGCGAGCGAACGGGGAGGAGCCCAGAGCCUGAAUCAGCAUGUGUGUUAGUGGAAGCGUCUGGAAAGGAAACCGAGUCUUAACCGGGCGUUAAGUUGCAGGGUAUAGACCCGAAACCCGGUGAUCUAGCCAUGGGCAGGUUGAAGGUUGGGUAACACUAACUGGAGGACCGAACCGACUAAUGUUGAAAAAUUAGCGGAUGACCUGUGGCUGGGGGUGAAAGGCCAAUCAAACCGGGAGAUAGCUGGUUCUCCCCGAAAGCUAUUUAGGUAGCGCCUCGUGAAUUCAUCUCCGGGGGUAGAGCACUGUUUCGGCUAGGGGGCCAUCCCGGCUUACCAACCCGAUGCAAACUGCGAAUACCGGAGAAUGUUAUCACGGGAGACACACGGCGGGUGCUAACGUCCGUCGUGAAGAGGGAAACAACCCAGACCGCCAGCUAAGGUCCCAAAGUCAUGGUUAAGUGGGAAACGAUGUGGGAAGGCCCAGACAGCCAGGAUGUUGGCUUAGAAGCAGCCAUCAUUUAAAGAAAGCGUAAUAGCUCACUGGUCGAGUCGGCCUGCGCGGAAGAUGUAACGGGGCUAAACCAUGCACCGAAGCUGCGGCAGCGAACGUAUCACCCAAGACAACUUUACGGAGUUGACGAUUGACGGAGCGAAGCGACGUCAAAGCGUUCAUUAAAGUCGAGUUGGCUUAGGGAUACGUUCGUUGGGUAGGGGAGCGUUCUGUAAGCCUGUGAAGGUGUGUCGUGAGGCAUGCUGGAGGUAUCAGAAGUGCGAAUGCUGACAUAAGUAACGAUAAAGCGGGUGAAAAGCCCGCUCGCCGGAAGACCAAGGGUUCCUGUCCAACGUUAAUCGGGGCAGGGUGAGUCGACCCCUAAGGCGAGGCCGAAAGGCGUAGUCGAUGGA